GAUAUUUUGGCUUAAUGGUAUAGUCUCUGCUUCGCAUGCAGAAAGUCCCCGGUUGGAUACCUGCUACUAACC